UGAGUUUGAUCAUGGCUCAGAUUGAACGCUGGCGGCAAGCCUCAUACAUGCAAGUUGAACGAGAAAGUAUCUUCGGAUGCGAGUACAGUGGCGGACGGGUGAGUAAUACAUAGGAAUCUACCCAAUGGAGGGGGAUAGCUCGAGGAAACUCGAAUUAAUACCGCAUAAUCUCCACGGAGUAAAGAGGGCUUCGGCUCUCGCCAUCGGAUGAGCCUAUGCAAGAUUAGCUUGUCGGUAAGGUAAUGGCUUACCAAGGCUACGAUCUUUAGCUGGUUUGAGAGGACGACCAGCCACAUCGGGACUGAGACACGGCCCGGACUUCUACGGAAGGCAGCAGUAGGGAAUAUUGGACAAUGAGCGAAAGCUUGAUCCAGCUAUGCCGCGUGUGCGAUGAAGACCUUAGGGUUGUAAAGCACUUUAGGUUAUGAGAAAAGAUUUGGUAUUAAUACCACCAAAUUUUGAUGUUAAUUUCAGAAUAAGCACCGGCUAAAUCCGUGCCAGCAGCCGCGGUAAUACGGAUGGUGCAAGCGUUAAUCGGAAUUACUGGGCGUAAAGCGCGCGUAGGUGGCCUAUCAAGUUAGAUGUGAAAUCCCGGGGCUUAACCUCGGAACUGCAUCUAAAACUGAUAAGCUAGAGUACU
rnacentral:rRNA from 1 species